CGAAACAACAAACACACACACCACCUGCUGGAGGGAGAGAUUAUCCGCGGAGUCUGGCCGGCACAGGGUGUUGAUGGGGUGAAAUGGCUCCAAGGGGCCAGCCCUCGACGCUGGGAGACCGCUGGGCGAUGACCAGUCAUAUCGAGUGGUUUCCAUGACGAAUUUGACGCUAAGCGACCCAAGGCUGGAGACUUUCUUCAGCAAAGUUGGCGGACAAAAAUAUUAGGAUGGAAGCAAAUGGACUCCUGAAACAACCAGCAAACCAGGCUGUCGUCUUGUGAAACAGUGGAUAUAAAGAAUCUAGCUAAAGCAUUUACUGCAAAUUUAAUGUACCAUUUUGUAAGCUUGCCCUUGCUGAUAUUUGCCAUGCAAUGCAGAUAGAUGAAGUAACAUAGUUAGCUAAACCAUUUCCUGCUUAUUGUGCAGUGGAGGAUAAAAAUGCCUGUAUGCCUACGGAUAUGUAGGUAGCUAUAUAGCCGAUCUGUGUAUGGACUCUAAAACGUUUGGUAUUGUAAUGAAACAGCAGGGAGCAGGUCUCGAACCCUCGACCUUCUAGCCUGAAGUCCAGUCGAUAUCCGCGCUUAUAAACCCAGGGUCGUUACAGUAUACAUAUUAGUUCAGAACCUAGCUAUGAAUCUCAACUAUCAUAGCCAGUUGUAUCAACUUCAAAACAUUAAUGAAGCCUAUGGAUUGAGUA